rnacentral:rRNA from 1 species
UACCACCCUUUAAUGUUUGAUGUUCUAACGUGGACCCGUGAUCCGGGUUGCGGACAGUGUCUGGUGGGUAGUUUGACUGGGGCGGUCUCCUCCUAAAGAGUAACGGAGGAGCACGAAGGUUGGCUAAUCCUGGUCGGACAUCAGGAGGUUAGUGCAAUGGCAUAAGCCAGCUUGACUGCGAGCGUGACGGCGCGAGCAGGUGCGAAAGCAGGUCAUAGUGAUCCGGUGGUUCUGAAUGGAAGGGCCAUCGCUCAACGGAUAAAAGGUACUCCGGGGAUAACAGGCUGAUACCGCCCAAGAGUUCAUAUCGACGGCGGUGUUUGGCACCUCGAUGUCGGCUCAUCACAUCCUGGGGCUGAAGUAGGUCCCAAGGGUAUGGCUGUUCGCCAUUUAAAGUGGUACGCGAGCUGGGUUUAGAACGUCGUGAGACAGUUCGGUCCCUAUCUGCCGUGGGCGCUGGAGAACUGAGGGGGGCUGCUCCUAGUACGAGAGGACCGGAGUGGACGCAUCACUGGUGUUCGGGUUGUCAUGCCAAUGGCACUGCCCGGUAGCUAAAUGCGGAAGAGAUAAGUGCUGAAAGCAUCUAAGCACGAAACUUGCCCCGAGAUGAGUUCUCCCUGAGACUUUAGGUCUCCUGAAGGAACGUUGAAGACGACGACGUUGAUAGGCCGGGUGUGUAAGCGCAGCGAUGCGUUGAGCUAACCGGUACUAAUGAACCGUGAGGCUUAACCUU